rnacentral:rRNA from 1 species
GACGAACGCUGGCGGCGUGCUUAACACAUGCAAGUCGAACGGGAAGGCCCUGCUUUUGUGGGGUGCUCGAGUUGCGAACGGGUGAGUAACACGUGAGUAACCUGCCCUUGACUUUGGGAUAACUUCAGGAAACUUGGGCUAAUACCGGAUAGGAGCUCCUGCUGCAGGGUGGGGGUUGGAAAGUUUCGGCGGUUGGGGAUGGACUCGCGGCGUAUCAGCUUGUUGGUGGGGUAGUGGCUUACCAAGGCUUUGACGGGUAGCCUGCCUGAGAGGGUCACCGGACACAUUGGGACUGAGAUACGGCCCAGACUCCUACGGGAGGCAGCAGUGGGGAAUAUUGCACAAUGGGCGGAAGCCUAAUGCAGCAACGCCGCGUGCGGGAUGACGGCCUGCGGGUUGUAAACCGCUUUCGCCUGUGACGAAGCGUGAGUGACGGUAAUGGGUAAAGAAGCACCGGCUAACUACGUG